rnacentral:rRNA from 1 species
UUAGUCCGCACGAGCGCACCCUUGUCCUUAGUUGCCAUCAUUCAGUUGGGCACUCUAAGGGGACUGCCGGAGAAUACCGAGGAAGGGGGGGGAGAACUCCAAAUCUCCUGGCCCUUUUUACCUGGGGUACCCCCCUGGUUCCAUGGGGGGUACCAAAGGGCGCCAAAUCCCCAAAGGGAACCCAUCCCAAAAAACCCUUCUCCAUUCCGAAUUGCGGCUGCCACUCCCCUGCCUUAAACCCGAAUCCCUUAUAAUCCCCGAUCAACAUGCCGCCGUGAAUACCUUCCCCGGGCCUGUUAA